CUAUGAGCUACUCCCAUCAGCCUGAUGCUUGCCUUGUGUGCUUGUCUCUACACUGACGGCCAUUGUAAUCAUCUUCUAUAAGAAAGGAGACCUGAGUUCAAUUCCCACAUCAGGCAUCUCACAAACAACUGCCUGUAUUUCUAGCUCCAAAGGAUGCAGUGUCUCUGGCCUCCUUCAGUAUAUGCAUCGGCAUACAUGUUUAAACACACAUGAAAAUAAAAACAAUCAUCUUGAGGAAUUUAAAGACCUUUGGAAUCAUCCAAAGAAGAAGGGAGAAUUAUCCUGAAAAAUAUUACCAAGGAAUAAUCUGACCUAAUUUAAUCUCUGAAAUCUCCAAAAAGGAGAUGGAACCCCACAACAAUGAUUCCACCAGGACUAUGACAACACCACUAAGCUGAAAACACCAACUAAAGAUCAACUUUGGACUACAAAUUCCUCAGAACAAUUUUGAGGUGGCUAGCUGAGAUGAUCCAGCCUCACAGACUAUUCUAGUCAGGACUUCAGACAAGCCCUGAACUUUCCCAUUACACAAAGACUGAACAAAAAUGAAACAGCUACCUCUCCCAGGACUUGACAAUUAAUCCAAAUUUUUCUUUUCAGUAUCCCCUAAAAAUGCCACCACCCCCAGGCAGGAGGAAGUAAUUUAAAACACAAUGCCCACAUUCCCAAGAAGUGGAGUGGGUGGG
rnacentral:lncRNA from 1 species